rnacentral:sRNA from 1 species
GGUGGUAUGAUCACAUCCGUUACUACAUGCAAUGCAAUCGUAUCUAUUAUUUUUUGAAGACUUUAUGAUCCAUUUGCCGUGGGUCCCACCAGCUAUGUAGGAAUACCCUAUCUUGUUUAUAAGAGCUUUGAUACAUCCAAAAUAUUCGAAAACAAUGUUGGAACGUAUAAGUUUCGCU